AGAGUUUGAUCAUGGCUCAGGAUGAACGCUGGCGGCGUGCUUAACACAUGCAAGUCGAACGAUGAUCCGGUGCUUGCGCCGGGGAUUAGUGGCGAACGGGUGAGUAACACGUGAGUAACCUGCCCUUGACUCUGGGAUAAGCCUGGGAAACUGGGUCUAAUACCGGAUAUGACUCCUCAUCGCAUGGUGGGGGGUGGAAAGCUUUUUGUGGUUUUGGAUGGACUCGCGGCCUAUCAGCUUGUUGGUGGGGUAAUGGCCUACCAAGGCGACGACGGGUAGCCGGCCUGAGAGGGUGACCGGCCACACUGGGACUGAGACACGGCCCAGACUCCUACGGGAGGCAGCAGUGGGGAAUAUUGCACAAUGGGCGAAAGCCUGAUGCAGCGACGCCGCGUGAGGGAUGACGGCCUUCGGGUUGUAAACCUCUUUCAGUAGGGAAGAAGCCCUCUUUGGGGGUGACGGUACUUGCAGAAGAAGCGCCGGCUAACUACGUGCCAGCAGCCGCGGUAAUACGUAGGGCGCAAGCGUUAUCCGGAAUUAUUGGGCGUAAAGAGCUCGUAGGCGGUUUGUCGCGUCUGCUGUGAAAGACCGGGGCUCAACUCCGGUUCUGCAGUGGGUACGGGCAGACUAGAGUGCAGUAGGGGAGACUGGAAUUCCUGGUGUAGCGGUGAAAUGCGCAGAUAUCAGGAGGAACACCGAUGG
rnacentral:rRNA from 1 species